rnacentral:rRNA from 1 species
GACGAACGCUGGCGGCGCGCCUAACGCAUGCAAGUCGAACGGAGCUGAGAGAAGCUUGCUUUUCUUAGCUUAGUGGCGAACGGGUGAGUAACGCGUGAGUAACCUGCCCUGGAGUGGGGGACAACAGUUGGAAACGACUGCUAAUACCGCAUAAGCCCACGAUCCGGCAUCGGAUUGAGGGAAAAGGAUUUAUUCGCUUCAGGAUGGACUCGCGUCCAAUUAGCUAGUUGGUGAGGUAACGGCCCACCAAGGCGACGAUUGGUAGCCGGACUGAGAGGUUGAACGGCCACAUUGGGACUGAGACACGGCCCAGACUCCUACGGGAGGCAGCAGUGGGGGAUAUUGCACAAUGGGGGAAACCCUGAUGCAGCGACGCCGCGUGGAGGAAGAAGGUUUUCGGAUUGUAAACUCCUGUCGUUAGGGACGAUAAUGACGGUACCUAACAAGAAAGCACCGGCUAACUACGUG